ensembl:lncRNA
GUGUGUGAGUGAGUGAGUGAGUGAGUCAGUGAGUGAGUGUGAGUCAGUGAGUGAGUGAGUGAGUGAGUGAGUGAGUGAGUGAGUGUAUGUGUGUGUGUGUGUGUGUGUGUGUGUGUCAGUGAGUGAGUGAGUGAGUGAGUGAGUCAGUGAGUGUGUGUGUGUGUGUGUGUGUGUGUGUGUGAGUGAGUGAGUGAGUGAGUCAGUGAGUGAGUGAGUGAGCGUCAGUGAGUGAGUGAGUGAGUGAGUGUGUGUGUGUGUGUGUGUGUGUGUGUGUGUGUGUGUGUGUGUGUGUGUGUGUGUGUGUGUGAGUGAGUGAGUGAGUGAGUCAGUGAGUGAGUGAGUGAGUGAGUGAGUGAGAGUCAGUGAGUGAGUGCCAUGUAAACAGUACUUUAUGGGAGUUAUAUCACAACUCUUCCAUGUGCCUUUCUGAUACAAAAGAUCCAAUUAAAGAGUUGCUCUUCCUCUUUCAAUUGCAGAAGAGACUGCAGAUAUUAACACUGUGAGUGACCCGAUUGGUGGAAGGUAGCAGGUUCCCCUUUCCAUCCCCCUGUGGUCACUUGUCAUGGUAUUCUGGGGUUUUAAUCGGGACAGUCUGGUGUGAGAGCAUUCAGGGUCUCAGCCUGACUCCUGUGUGCCACUGAUUACAGCUGAAGGCCUUCAGUGACGCUCAUGAGUCAUCACUACUGCUGAUGUUGAUGUACUGUUAAAACCUACCGAGUGUACUAGCAUUUAAAGACAUCAUACAUGCUCUCCAAGGCUGCUUCCAAAGGUUAGUUGCAUAAUUCUGUUAAGAUGCCAAAAUCUAAGAUCGCACUGCAUGCAAUCAAAGACGUGAGAAGCACUGAAUCACUUGCAUUUCAGUCGUCUUAGUAGGCAGCUGCCUAUGCAGACAGUAAUGCAGCUCUUUAGGGUUUGGAGCAGAGCCACUGAGUCUGUGUCCAGCAGCUGUAAUGAAAACAUGAAACACAUCGUUUGAACUUGAGCAGAGAGAGUCUGUGAGAGAGGAGCUGUUCACUGGAACACGAGCCACUGUGCUCUUCCUGUUCUGUAGUUUAUUCAUUAGAGAACAUGAGAGUGUAGCGCAUCUAUCUAUCUAUCUAUCUAUCUAUCUAUCUAUCUAUCUAUAUUUCUAUCUAUCUGUCUGUCUGUCUGUCCGUCCGUCCGUCCGUCCGUCUGUCUGUCUGUCUAUCUAUCUAUCUAUCUAUCUAUCUAUCUAUCUAUCUAUCUAUCUAUCUAUCUAUCUAUCUAUUUGUCUGUCCGUCUAUCUAUCUAUCUAUCUAUCUAUCUAUCUAUCUAUCUAUCUAUCUAUCUAUCUAUCUAUUAUUUUUAUCACCCACCCAUCCAUCCAUCCAUCCACCCAUCCAUCCA